GUUUACGGCCAUACCAGCCUGGGUACGCCCGAUCUCGUCUGAUCUCGGAAGCUAAGCAGGGUCGGGCCUGGUUAGUACUUGGAUGGGUGACCGCCUGGGAAUACCAGGUGCUGUAAGCU
rnacentral:rRNA from 1 species